AGUGAACGCUGGCGGUAGGCCUAACACAUGCAGGUCGAACGGCAGCACAGUAAGAGCUUGCUCUUACGGGUGGCGAGUGGCGGACGGGUGAGGAAUACAUCGGAAUCUACUUUUUCGUGGGGGAUAACGUAGGGAAACUUACGCUAAUACCGCAUACGACCUACGGGUGAAGGCAGGGGAUCUUCGGACCUUGCGCGAUUGAAUGAGCCGAUGUCGGAUUAGCUAGUUGGCGGGGUAAAGGCCCACCAAGGCGACGAUCCGUAGCUGGUCUGAGAGGAUGAUCAGCCACACUGGAACUGAGACACGGUCGAGACUCCUACGGGAGGCAGCAGUGGGGAAUAUUGGACAAUGGGGGAAAGCCUGAUCCAGCCAUACCGCGGGGGUGAAGAAGGCCUUCGGGUUGUAAAGCCCUUUUGUUGGGAAAGAAAAGCAGCAGGUUAAUACCCCGCUGUUCUGACGGUACCCAAAGAAUAAGCACCGGCUAACUUCGUG
rnacentral:rRNA from 1 species